CCGUUAAUGCGUUUUACUACUUUACGAUAUUCUACCGUGAAAUUUUGGAUGUUAAUAGCGUUUUUUGCAGAACAAUCUCAAAAUCCUGUAGAUUUUAUUGUGGCCACACAAUCCAGCAUGCAAACGAUGCCCACAGUUAAAGUGAAAAAUAACUCAACUAAUUUGAGUAAGUUGUUAAAAAAAGUUGUAAGUAAUACAUGGUAAGUAAUAAAAUGUUUAAUUUAAAGUGUUCUUUAAAUAUUUAAUUGCUCAAUUUUAUAUAUAGUUUCAAUUCUGUCUUCAGAUUAAAUAUGUAAGUACUGCUGAUUGGUAUUUGAGAUUUGUUGUAUCUUGGGCCAAAAUGUCUAAAGAGGCACAAGAUAUAUUUGCAACUAAAGAAAGACCUUUAACAGCACAUCGUUGUUCAACUAUAAGCAUUAUUAUGAAUAAUAUUUAUUAUGUUCUUACUGUUUGUUUAUGCCAUUUAAAAACAUUUAGAUGUAAUUGCAUCUUCUAUGGUUGCCAAGUAUUCUAAAUUGUUUAUAGAUGAAUAUGGUUCCACAGUAAUUGGUAGGGGUCAUGACAGUUUAACGUUACAAUUAGUUAACCAUUAUGACUAUCUGUGGCAGCCAAACCGUGUGCCACUGUUAUUGGGUGUUUUAAAUUUGGAAUCCCAAGAGGGGUCCCAAUUAUUAGUUGAUGUCAAAAAAACUGAUAGUUAUGGUUACUUAAACCGAGAACCAGUUCUCAGUGUUUCAAACAGCCCUGAAGAACUCGAUUACUAUUUACAAUGAACUAAAAUAAAUGGAAAGAUCUUGUCAAAUGAUUUGUUGAUAAAAUUUUCCAAUUUCUUUACAGUAAAGUUGAUGGUUUGCAACAUCACUUUGAUGUUUUGAUGUGUGAAAUGAAUGCUGGUGAACUCUUGAUAAAAGCAUUAGAUAAUGAAAAAUUUAAGUGCUUUUUUCGGCAUCAAUCCUGAAAAAGGGAGCAAAUCAAGGCAAACGAAGAAGACUUUAUCAAUAAGCAAAAUUUUGCUGAAAAUUUUGCUCAAUACUGCAGAAGUUUGCAAGAUUUAAUAAUAUUUGAAUUUACCAUGUAGUCGUAAACUUCUAAAUAUAAUUCUAAAUAUAAAUUAAACUUCUAAAUAUAACUUUG